rnacentral:rRNA from 1 species
CUCCGGGGAUAACAGGCUGAUACCGCCCAAGAGUUCAUAUCGACGGCGGUGUUUGGCACCUCGAUGUCGGCUCAUCACAUCCUGGGGCUGAAGUAGGUCCCAAGGGGAUGGCUGUUCGCCAUUUAAAGUGGUACGCGAGCUGGGUUUAGAACGUCGUGAGACAGUUCGGUCCCUAUCUGCCGUGGGCGCUGGAGAAUUGAGGGGGGCUGCUCCUAGUACGAGAGGACCGGAGUGGACGCAUCACUGGUGUUCGGGUUGUCAUGCCAAUGGCACUGCCCGGUAGCUAAAUGCGGAAGAGAUAAGUGCUGAAAGCAUCUAAGCACGAAACUUGCCCCGAGAUGAGUUCUCCCUGAGACUUUAAGUCUCCUGAAGGAACGUUGAAGACGAUGACGUUGAUAGGCCGGGUGUGUAAGCGCAGCGAUGCGUUGAGCUAACCGGUACUAAUGAACCGUG